CUUUAUUAUUCUUCAACACGUUAAUAUCAACAAGAGAUAACAGAAAUUAAUAAAUAAAUAAAUUAAGAAAGAAGAUUAAGAAUAAAUUAAGAAGUUAUUACAAAAAUUGUCAUAGUUCUGUGAUCUAAUCUCACUGGGAAUAUAAUUCCAGUCUCUUAUAUAUGGUCAGUCUCGGAAAAUAACUAUAUAAAUAAUAACCACAGUUUAUCCUCGGUUGGAUAAAAGUAGUACUAGAAUAGUUCCGAGUGGGGCGAGUCGAGCGUAAAAAAUAGUCAGAUAUGGGCAGCGAGAUACUGCCUUGUUCUGCCAAAUAGAAUGUUUUCAGACGACGAGCUCUUCUCCUUUCGCUCAGAGUGAUCUAAAGAGUGAAAGAAGUGAAAUGUAGCGGUGAAUGAUCCGUUUGUUUGUUUCCAUGCAAUAAGAAAAAGCUUAAACGAACUACAGUUUUUGUGACGACUCAAAUGAGUCAUUUUGAAUGGGUAACUUUUAAGACCCAUUUACGACCAGUCGUAUACGAUUGUG